ncrna:Desulfitobacterium hafniense DCB-2 Moco (molybdenum cofactor) riboswitch
ACUGAAAAAGAUCUCCGAGCCGGAAUGAACCUAAAGAGCAAUUCUAUGGACACCGGACAGGGCCCAGGCCCUCGGGGUAUACUUGGAAACGGGUAUGCCUUCACGUUUGAAAAGGAGGUGGAUUAAAGCCAAC